rnacentral:rRNA from 1 species
CUUGACAUCCUCUGACAAUCCUAGAGAUAGGACGUCCCCUUCGGGGGCAGAGUGACAGGUGGUGCAUGGUUGUCGUCAGCUCGUGUCGUGAGAUGUUGGGUUAAGUCCCGCAACGAGCGCAACCCUUGAUCUUAGUUGCCAGCAUUCAGUUGGGCACUCUAAGGUGACUGCCGGUGACAAACCGGAGGAAGGUGGGGAUGACGUCAAAUCAUCAUGCCCCUUAUGACCUGGGCUACACACGUGCUACAAUGGACAGAACAAAGGGCAGCGAAACCGCGAGGUUAAGCCAAUCCCACAAAUCUGUUCUCAGUUCGGAUCGCAGUCUGCAACUCGACUGCGUGAAGCUGGAAUCGCUAGUAAUCGCGGAUCAGCAUGCCGCGGUGAAUACGUUCCCGGGCCUUGUACACACCGCCCGUCACACCACGAGAGUUUGUAACACCCGAAGUCGGUGAGGUAACCUUUAUGGAGCCAGCCGCCGAAGGUGGGACAGAUGAUUGGGGUGAAGUCGUA